UGAAAGAAGCUUCUCACGGUGGUUGGUAGU
rnacentral:piRNA from 1 species